rnacentral:rRNA from 1 species
CACGUAGGGCGCAAGCGUUGUCCGGAAUUAUUGGGCGUAAAGAGCUCGUAGGCGGUCUGUUGCGUCCGCUGUGAAAACUCGGGGCUUAACCCCGAGCCUGCAGUGGAUACGGGCAGACUAGAGGUAGGUAGGGGAGAAUGGAAUUCCCGGUGUAGCGGUGAAAUGCGCAGAUAUCUGGAGGAACACCGGUGGCGAAGGCGGCAUCCUGGACCGACACUGACGCUGAAAAGCGAAAGCCAGGGGAGCAAACGGG